rnacentral:rRNA from 1 species
AUUGAACGCUGGCGGCAUGCCUUACACAUGCAAGUCGAACGGCAGCACGGGCGCAAUCCUGGUGGCGAGUGGCGAACGGGUGAGCAAAGUAUCGGAACGUGCCCAGUCGGGGGGGAUAACGUAGCGAAAGUUACGCUAAUACCGCAACCGAUCUCUGGAUGAAAGAGGGGGAUCGCAAGACUCCGGGCGAUGGGAGCGGCGGAUAUCGAAUUAGGAAGUUGGUGGGGUAAAGGCUCACCAAGCCGACGAUCUGUAGCUGGUCUGAGAGGACGACCAGCCACACUGGGACUGAGACACGGCCCAGACUCCUACGGGAGGCAGCAGUGGGGAAUUUUGGACAAUGGGCGAAAGCCUGAUCCAGCCAUGCCGCGUGCAGGAUGAAGGCCUUCGGGUUGUAAACUGCUUUUGUACGGAACGAAAAGGUUUGGCCUAAUAAGCUGAGCUCAUGACGGUACCGUAAGAAUAAGCACCGGCUAACUACGUGCCAGCCGCCGCGGUAA